rnacentral:lncRNA from 1 species
CCGACACGUAUACAAACACAACCUGAACCUAACAGCAGCUCAGCAAGGUAACGCUAUAGCUAUUCUUGAUGCUCUUGAACAUUACUUUACGCCAGCAAAGAACGUCAUCUACGAGCGUUAUGUUUUCGGUUGUUGCAAACAGGAGGACGGGGAGUCCAUUGACAGCUUUGUCACUAGGUUAAGGGAAAAGGCAGCUACAUGUGACUAUGGUGCUUUAAGAGAUGAACUGAUCAGAGAUACGAUUGUGCUUGGCAUAACUGAUGAGGGUACCCGCAGACGUUUGCUGAGAGAACGUGACCUGACGCUGGUCUUGGCAGUGGAGACAUGCCGUGCAGCAGAGCUUACUGAUAUACGGAUAAGGUCCAUGGAGCUAGAAAGGCAACAUACGGACAAUGUCAAUGCUACAUUCAGGCAGCCAGUAAAGAAAUUCCCCUUUACCACAGCUAAUGCUAAUACUACAGCCAACUCUGCAGUAGACAACCCCAAUACAUGCCGAUAUUGUGGCAUUUCUCAUGGACGAGGAAAAGAACACUGCCCAGCCUCUGGAAAAAUAUGCAAAUCCUGUGGUACAGCUAAUCACUUCGCAAGGGUCUGCAUGAAAAGCAAGAGAAAGGAGGGUAAAGUGCACUCCAUGGGAACAAACACAGAUGAAGGGAACGGCAGCACAGAGGAUAUAUAUGUUAGCGAGUGCAUAGGGGCAGUGAGGGCAAAAGGACAAAAGUGGUUUGUCACUCUGCUACUUAAUAAUAAACCACAGCAAUGCCAGCUAGAUUCAGGGGCCUCAUGCAACGUUAUGAGCCUUAAAGACAAAAGGAGGCUCGCGCCCAGAGACAAACUCACACAGAGUAGCACCAAGCUGAAACUGUAUUCAGGCCAGUUCAUGACCUCUUUAGGCCUGUUUGUGACAGAGUGUGUUUUACGUGGCCAGAAAUACACCCUUGAGUUUGAAAUAGUUGAGGGCCAGCCUGUGGCAUUCGCCUCUAGGGAUGUGUUGUCAUGUACUGAACAAGACUGGUUACUCGCAUCAAUGCCUCUGUCUCGUCAUUUAACAUUCAAACACCAGUCAUGGAGCUUUACUCUGAUAGAAACAGCACAAAAUUGCACGUCAUGCAAUGCACAGCCCACCAUCCAACUCUGC